rnacentral:rRNA from 1 species
GAUGAACGCUGGCGGCGUGCCUAAUACAUGCAAGUCGAGCGAACAGACGAGGAGCUUGCUCCUCUGACGUUAGCGGCGGACGGGUGAGUAACACGUGGAUAACCUACCUAUAAGACUGGGAUAACUUCGGGAAACCGGAGCUAAUACCGGAUAAUAUAUUGAACCGCAUGGGUCAAUAGUGAAAGACGGUUUUGCUGUCACUUAUAGAUGGAUCCGCGCCGGUUUAGCUAGUUGGUAAGGUAACGGCUUACCAAGGAAACGAUGCGUAGCCGAGCUGAGGGGGGGUAGCCGCCCUGGGGAGGUGACCAGCCGCACUGGGCCUGAGGGGCGGCCGAGACUGGUACGCUGGGGAAAAGGGGGAAAGCUUGCAGGAGGAGCGGCGGCGUGAUGCAGAAGCGCCGCGGGCGGGAAAACGGCGUUCUGGGGGAAAACCAAAUUUGUAAGUAACGAAGCCUGUCUGACGGUAACCUAUAAAGAAAGCCCGGCUAACUACGUG